UUUUUACUUAAUAGCAGUGUGGCUUAGCCUAACUAUUGCCAAAACUUUGACCUUUUUGAAUGGCAACCCAAACCCAUCAAAGGAAAGGUAAGGUAAGAAUAAAAAUUUUGAUUUCAUCCUUAUCCCCUCGUGGCUAGAAAAAAUAAAAAUCUAUUGAGGCAAUUUUCACAGCCUCAUGUUCCAUCCCCUUCACUUCACAUUCACAGCACGCAUCCUUCUUCUUCAACAACACACAUAUCCAUUCUCUCUCAUGGCUUCUUCUUCCAUUUCCGCACCAACGCUCACCUUCCCGACGCAGAAGCUUGCCGUUCCGUUCCCCGCGCCCCGGACGCCCUCGCUCCUCCCGUUCCCAUCGCAACCCCCCUGCCGCUGCCUCGCCUCUGCCUCCUCCGACGACCGCUGUUCCGGCGCCAAACGCAGCGGCUGGGACUCCGUGCUGCACCAGUUCUCCGAGGUCGCCAAGCGAGUCGAUUCCUACUGGAAGUCCCUCGGGAACGCCGCCGCUGACGAUCGCGUCCGCGUCGUCGGUGGCGACGAGGAUUGGGAUUGGGAUCGCUGGCGCCGGCAUUUCGAGGAAAUCGACGAGCAAGAGCGCCUCCUCUCGAUUUUCAAGUCUCAGUUAAGCCGUGCCGUGUAUUUGGAGAAUUAUGAAGAUGCUGCCAGGCUUAAGGUUGCAUUUGCAGCUACAGCUAACAACGACAGUGUUGGAAGAGUGAUGUCUUAUCUCAAUAGAGCCAUAAAAGAGGAGCGGUAUGGUGAUGCAGCUUUCUUAAGAGAUAAAGCUGGCGCUGGACUUGUGGGUUGGUGGUCUGGUAUUUCAGAAGGUGUAAAUGAUCCACAUGGUCUAAUUAUUCGCAUAACUCCUGAGCAUGGAAGAUAUGUGGCGAGGAGUUAUAGUCCAAGGCAACUUGCAACUUCUGCUGCUGGCAUUCCUCUUUUUGAAUUUUUUCUUACAAUGGAUAAAAAAGGUGAAUUCAAGUCACAGGCUGUGUACUUAAAGCAAAGAGGGGCCUUCCAUGGACCCCCAACAACCUCCUCUAAAACAUUGGAUGCUGCUGGGAGACUGAGUUCAGUGGAGUCUACUGAAGACAAAAGUGAGCUGUUUGUUGUGAGUACUGAAGAUCCAGAAAAUGGUAAUGAUAGGAAUGAUGGCUCUGAUCCUGCUGAGGGAAUGCCUGGAUUUCAGAAUGUCUUGAAAGAUAUGAUUCCUGGGGUAAAGGUGAAGGUAUUCAAGGUGAUAACUCCAGAGAAAGUAGACAAGGAUCUAUCUAAUGUGAUUGAGAAGAUAAUUGAGGACGAAGACGGAGACGAAGACGAAGAUGAAGAGAUGGAAAAUGAUGCAGAAAGUCUAGAACUGGAAGAGAUUAAGUCUGAGACUGACCAGGAGGGAGAUGAUGAGAUUGAAAUAAAUGCUGGUCUGGGAACUUUUGAACGUGAAGACCAGAAUGAGUUUGCUGUCAAAAUUGCCAUUGGUGGUCUUGUUCAGAAACUUUCUGGUAAUCUAUCCUCUAGAGAUUUGCUUCGAGUCCCUGCUAUGCUGGAGAUGAAGGGGCGUGGUUCAUUUUCCUUUACUGUUGAAAAAGAAGUCAAUCAGCAGGUUGGUCUUGACAAAGGAAAAUCUUCAUCUGAUAAAUCAACUAAGUUUCAAGGUCGACGCAGAGUUGAUCAUGUUAUUUUUGACCUUGCAAAAUUCAUUGGCAGGGGAAAGAUACCCUCAAAGGUGCUGAAAGAAGUGGGAGAAUUGAUAAAUCUCACUCUAAGUCAGGCUCAGAGCCAUCACCAAUUAUCUGGCUCAACAAUUUUCAAUCGCAUCGAAAUACCAGCUUCGUUUGAUCCUUUAAAUGGUCUAUACAUUGGUGCACAUGGGCUUUACUCCUCUGAAGUUAUUCAUCUAAGACGUAGAUUUGGUCAGUGGCAAGAGGACAAUGGGGCUAAGGAGCCUUCAAAUAUUGAGUUUUAUGAGUAUGUAGAAGCUUUGAAGCUAACUGGGGAUCCUUAUGUACCAGCUGGCCAGGUGGCAUUUCGUGCAAAAAUUGGAAAGAGGUAUCAAUUGCCUCAUAAAGGGAUAAUACCUGAAGAGUUUGGCGUGAUUGCUCGCUAUAAAGGUGAAGGGAGGCUGGCUGAGCCAGGGUUUCAGAAUGCCCGAUGGGUUGAUGGUGAGCUUGUGAUUCUUGAUGGGAAGCACCUAAAAGCAGGGCCGGUUGUUGGAUUUGUGUAUUGGGCCCCUGGGUAUCAUUUUUUGGUCUUCUUCAAUCGGCUUAGGCUUCAACAGUAGGGUUUUGUUCAUAAUAUCAGAGACUUGUAAAUUCUUUCUUCAGAUUCUCAGCGUUCUAGGUUUUGUUGAAUGCUAAAUUGUGCUUCAAUGGAAGAUAUCACUAAUCAAUACAGGGUUUCCAUUUGAGCUUUAAAAGAUCUUCACUACUAGCUUUCUGCCGAGUAGCAUAGGUUGAGCAUUUGGCUGCUUGUCUAGAACUCAAAUGACCGAGGUAUCUUAAGCUUGGUAGCUGUAGCUUGACUAACUAUAGAUUGAAGAGGGAUUCAUAAUAUCAGCACUAAAGCACAAUGUACUAGUCUCUUCAUUCGACAUUUUAUGGAGGUGUAGUGUUCAGGGUAUCUUCAUCAACUUUGUACAUUGUUCCUAAUUUAUAAGAAAAAUUCCCAUGUAUCAUAAAAUUCAUGAUAUCAUCGUUCUUUCUGUUAUGAUGAAAUUUUCAUCACAAUUGUCUUCUUACUUUGGAUAGUAUUUAGAGGUCUUUAGUAUUAGCUUCCUCAUUAACUCUAUACAGUCAACAAUUGAAUCUCC